UACAGAGGUCCCAAGCGUUGUUCGGAUUCACUGGGCGUAAAGGGUGCGUAGGUGGCCGGGUAAGUCUGAUGUGAAAUCUCCGAGCUUAACUCGGAAAUGGCAUUGGAUACUAUUCGGCUGGAGAGUUGGAGGGGGGACUGGAAUUCUCGGUGUAGCAGUGAAAUGCGUAGAUAUCGAGAGGAACACCAGUGGCGAAGGCGAGUCCCUGGACAACUCCUGACACUGAGGCACGAAAGCUAGGGGAGCAAACAGG
rnacentral:rRNA from 1 species